rnacentral:sRNA from 1 species
GGAACUGGAAUAAGCUCAAACGAAUAC